rnacentral:sRNA from 1 species
GGCUGGUCCAAUUGCAAUGGUAUUUAUAAUUAAUUGAUCACAGUCAGUUACAGGUCUCCAUGUCCUUCCAUAUUCGUUGCGAACAUUUGAACUGGCCUUCG